AGCGAACGCUGGCGGCAUGCCUAACACAUGCCAGUCGAACGAACUCUUCGGAGUUAGUGGCGGACGGGUGAGUAACACGUGGGAACGUGCCUUUUGGUUCGGAAUAACUCAGGGAAACUUGUGCUAAUACCGAAUGUGCCCUUCGGGGGAAAGAUUUAUCGCCAUUAGAGCGGCCCGCGUCUGAUUAGCUAGUUGGUGAGGUAACGGCUCACCAAGGCGACGAUCAGUAGCUGGUCUGAGAGGAUGACCAGCCACACUGGGACUGAGACACGGCCCAGACUCCUACGGGAGGCAGCAGUGGGGAAUAUUGCGCAAUGGGCGAAAGCCUGACGCAGCCAUGCCGCGUGAAUGAUGAAGGUCUUAGGAUUGUAAAAUUCUUUCACCGGGGACGAUAAUGACGGUACCCGGAGAAGAAGCCCCGGCUAACUUCGUG
rnacentral:rRNA from 1 species